rnacentral:rRNA from 1 species
UACGAAGGGGGCUAGCGUUGCUCGGAAUCACUGGGCGUAAAGCGCACGUAGGCGGAUCUUUAAGUCAGGGGUGAAAUCCUGGAGCUCAACUCCAGAACUGCCUUUGAUACUGGGGAUCUCGAGUCCGGGAGAGGUGAGUGGAACUCCGAGUGUAGAGGUGAAAUUCGUAGAUAUUCGGAAGAACACCAGUGGCGAAGGCGGCUCACUGGUCCGGUACUGACGCUGAGGUGCGAAAGCGUGGGGAGCAACAGG